rnacentral:rRNA from 1 species
UGUAGCAAUACAGGUGGCGCACGGCGCACGGGUGCGUAACACGUGGGUAAUCUGCCCUUCGAUGGGGAAUAACUCGCCGAAAGGCGAGCUAAUUCCGCAUAACAUUCCGAGAACUUCGGUUUUUGGAUUCAAAGGCGUAAGUCGUCGGAGGAGGAGCCCGCGCACGAUUAGCUAGUUGGUGAGGUAACGGCUCACCAAGGCUAUGAUCGUUAGCUGGUCUGAGAGGAUGGCCAGCCACACUGGAACUGAGACACGGUCCAGACUCCUACGGGAGGCAGCAGUGGGGAAUCUUGCACAAUGGGCGAAAGCCUGAUGCAGCGACGCCGCGUGGGGGAUGAAGCUUCUCGGAGUGUAAACCCCUUUCGACCCGGACGAAUGCCCCGCAAGGGGACUGACGGUACGGGUAUAAGAAGCCCCGGCUAACUACGUGCCAGCAGCCGCGGUAAGACGUAGGGGGCCAGCGUUGCUCGGAAUUACUGGGUGUAAAGGGUUCGUAGGCGGUGUGGCAAGUCGGGAGUGAAAUCUCUGGGCUCAACCCAGAGUCUGCUUCCGAAACUGCUGUGCUUGAGUGUGGGAGAGGCGCGUGGAAUUGCAGGUGUAGCGGUGAAAUGCGUAGAUAUCUGCAGGAACACCCGUGGCGAAAGCGGCGCGCUGGACCACUACUGACGCUGAGGAACGAAAGCUAGGGGAGCAAACAGGAUUAGAUACCCUGGUAGUCCUAGCCCUAAACGAUCAGGACUUGGGGUGCCACCCGUUCGGGUGUCGUCCCGGAGCUAACGCGUUAAGUCCUGCACCUGGGGAGUACGGUCGCAAGACUGAAACUC